rnacentral:rRNA from 1 species
AUUGAACGCUGGCGGCCGGCCUAACACAUGCAAGUCGAGCGAGCGGCGGACGGGGGAGUAAUGUCUGGGAAACUGCCUGAUGGCGGGGGAUAACUAAUGGAAACGGUAGAUAAUACCGCAUACCAUCAGAUGUGCCCAGAUGGUAGUUGCUGGUAGGUGGGGUAAUGGCUCACCUAGGCUACGAUCCCUAGCUGGUCUGAGAGGAUGACCAGCCACACUGGAACUGAGACACGGUCCAGACUCCUACGGGAGGCAGCAGUGGGGUAUGUUGCACAAUGGUCGCAAGCCUGAUUCAGCCAUGCCGCGUGUGUGAAGAAGGCCUUCGGGUUGUAAAGCACUUUCAGCGGGGAGGCGUGACCCGCAGAAGAAGCACCGGCUAACUCCGUGCCAGCAGCCGCGGUAAUAC